CCCUGUAUGGUACCGGUACUAAUUGCUGAAAAUCUGCUAUUUGCAUAUUGCAAUGCUAACUUUCUGCUCUCGCGUCCCACUAAGUCCAGUUGACAUUUAUUUCGCGCCAACAUGACUCGGACAUAUCCUAACACUCUCCAGAAAUGUCGACAAGUCUCAACUGCUGAACUCCAGAGAUACUACAAUUCUUCUCUAAUUUUCUAAUCCCCAUCUCCCUCCUUUCG
rnacentral:lncRNA from 1 species